GUGUGUGUGUGUGCGCGCGCACACGUGCGUGCACGCACGCUUGUGCAGAAUUUUACCUCCCAGAAAUUCAGAAAUGGCUGUGCAGUGAGUUUUGUUUAGUAAGAAGCAAGAGAUGGGGAGCUAAGGGAUAAAUAUUUUGAUGUGUAAGGGCUGUAAACUGUUGAUGCUUAACUUUUACUUAAACCUUUUAUUAAAAGGCUCACACCCACACUUGUGCAGGGAAGGCAGUCUUGGGAAUGAACAGAAAUGAAUAAUUAUCAGACUCUCCAGGGUGCCAAGGGGAUUAGCUUGUCCCAGCUCCAGAACUGAAUUUAAAUAUGCAGAGCAUUGGUGGUUCUGCUCCAGUAAAAGCAGAUCACUUCAGUAGCUUGAGACAUGCCUGGGGAUAAGGGACAUAUCAGCUCUCCUUAUGGGGAAUGGCCUUCCUUCCAGUCGUUGCGCAGGCUCUGCGAGGUGUGUCCCCACAGAUUUGACUUCGACUUCCAGAAAGUAAAGACAUAGAUGAAUUCCUUUAUCCCCUAAAGAGUUCCCCACCCAGAGUCACUUUGCAGUUGCCCAAAUAGAGAGGCUUAUGGUCCUUAGUUCUGAGGGAAAUGCACCAUUUUUAUUUCUUCCAGGUAAAAAGAGAGAUCAACCUUCCAAGAGAAUAUAAACUAAGGAUAAAAACUUCUAAAGCCCCCACCCUUUCUAUUUGCAAAUGCUUUCUUUGCCUGCAAAUGUCACAUAACUGAUUUGGGGUGGUAACAAUAAAAGUCUCAGGGAAGCUAAAGUUUCCAGACCCCCUGAGCACUUUCGUUUUACUCAGCCCUCCUCUUCUAGAGCAUUUGCAGCCUCCAUCUUUGAGAUGUUUUCCUCCUCAUUCUUUAGAGUAAUUUUGCUACUUGACAACUAGACUUAAAGCUGCCAUAGACCCUUAAAAAUCUAAUCUUUGAAAGUGACAGAAAUUCCUUUAUUCCCCAAAGGCUGUUUCUAUUCACCUCUCCCUUGGCUUUGUUUCCUAUGCGUGUGUGAUUUUCUUUUUUUCCUUUUCAUCUCUUUCUUUUAACAUAGUGCUGUGGGUAGAUUUCAAGCAUUCUCUAAAGAACUUGAAUAGAAAAACAGAGUCCUCACCUUUUUUUUUUUUU
rnacentral:lncRNA from 1 species